CUCUGGUGUAUGCUGGAAAGUGUUUCUGUUGACAUGAGCAGACUUGAGUAAGCCGCUUCAUCUGCAGCCACAGAUACUACUGUUAAUAGGUACAUAACUAAGUUAUAGCUCUAAGUCCUUAAUGGCGAGAGCUUAAGUGAGGCCUUUCAGAUAGCAUGUUUUAAUCAAACGUUAUUUUGAUGUCAAUGUUUCCAUGCAGCACUGCUGUCUGCUGCAACCCAUUGCUUGUACAUGUGACUGCCCCCUCAAUGACAAGACAGGGUGUCUAUAUAGUGCAUGCUCACAUCUGAAUGAAAAUCAAACGAGUGAGAGUGUUAUGGAACUACAAGGGACGCGUACGAAAGAGCUCAGAGUAUGUCUCCAAAGGGGGUAACAUGUACAAAGGGAUCUAUACAAGGUGCUCAAUUACUAUAGCCAGAGAAAAACAAACAAGAACGGAUUUAUUGUUUGAGAGUACCUGUUCAAGAGAUUAUGAGGCAUAACCAAUCACUGCCACUUGAACAUUUGGAGCUGCAUGUGCGCACAGAGACUGCAGGAGGAGACCUCCACCGACUAUUCCAGUGUCGUCGUGAUCCUUACAAUAAUUAUGAGUCUGCUAACACAUCCAACUUUGUGACGAGCUGAUUGAUCGACUACACAGUAAGUGGUUUACUUGGACAGGGACAUACGCGUAGCUUGCCUAACACCCCACAUAGGCACCCCUCCCUCUUUACUAUAGAUCACGUAUAAAGACACAUUAUAAGCAUUUUUGUCACUAUUAUACUGUCAGCAACUUCUCACUUAGAUAAUAAUUAUCACCGGCACAGUU